AGUCCCGGCGCUUGGACUCGCUGGGCUUGUUACCGCGGGCUGUGGUAGGCGUCAGGCCGGGCGUCGGGCGUUUGUUCGCCAGCCCGAAACUCCUGGGUCCGGUGGCGGUCCGGGUGCUUGACCUGGCAUGUUGAAUUGCGCUGGAGAAAAGCUUCAGUGCUCACUGCUGUCGAUAUUUUAGGAACCUCAUCGACGAGAUGAAGACAGGCCCGGGGUGCGCGGUGGCGCACGCCUGUAAUCCCAGCAAUUUGGGAGGCUGAGGCAGGAGGAUCGCGAGUUCGGAGUCAGCCUCAGCAACCGCGAGGCGCUAAGCAACUCAGUGAGCCGCUGGCUGGAGUUGUGGCUCAGUGGUUGAGUGCCCUGAGUUCAGUCCCCAGUAUCCCGGUAUUCCCCCCACCACCACCACCAAAGAAAAGAAAUUAAGACAGAACAUAGUUCAUUCUUUGGGAAGUUACCAGAAGAUUAUCAGCCUUCAACCCGAUAAACGCCUUUAGCUGAACGCCCCGGUGCAUGUCUGUAAUCCCAGCGACUCUGAGGCUUUGGCAGAAGGAUUCAAAGUUCCAGACCAGCUUGGGCGACAUAGCAAGAACCUGUCUCAAAAUUUUAGAAAGACUGGGGAUGUAGUUCAGGGGAAGUGCUACCCUAGUAGCUUGAAGCCUAGGUUCAAUCUCCAGCACGGAAAAUAAAUUAAUAAAAGCAAUAUAGAAAUUAAAAGGCUUACUCCAGAUUUACUACUUACUAAAUAUUGUUUGCAUUAUGGGACUCCAUUGAAGCAAGGUUAGAGACAGGCAGUCAAUAUAGAUAGGUAAUCAGACAGAGGAUGGUUUGGGUCUGGGAAGUUGAAGGCUGCCUCUGGGGCAUUGAAAUGUUAAUGCCUGCAAAGUCCUUACAACCUGUAGCUAAGGUAACCUGUGGCAGGAAUUGUUCCUCCCUGAAGGGAAUUGUAAAAGUUGUUAAAGAAUGCCUUCUAGCCCAGAAUUCUUCCCACCCGGAUCACUCCACCUUUGGCCAUUCUCCCUUGUACAUUUGCUUCUCAGCUUUUGGCCAUCCCAAGGCAUCUCCUGGACCAAGUCAAGUGCGUCUGGGAAAACAGAGCUCAGCAUUGGUAAUCAUCAAAGGUAACUCAGCAAAGUGGUGCAUGCCUUGGUACAUGCAAUGCAGACACUCUACCAAGUGAGCCAUAUCUCCAGCCCCUGUCUCUUGCUAUCUUCAGUGCCCUGCCUGUCUGUCCUCCACCACAAAGCCACAUAUGUGGUCAUCAAGACCCUGCCUUGACCCACCCUGGCCCAUGAUACCACUGAUAAAUGAAACCCAAAGGAGCCAGGAGGCUUCACACAGCAUAAACCUUGUCCUAUGGAUACCUUGUGCAGUCACCUGCCAAUUGCCACCAUGGACCUUUGGACUGCUGUGGUGCCUAAUACUCUUAACUCUCCAUGCCCCACCUGACAGAAAACAAGGACUUUGGGCUACUCCCCCCAACUUCAGCUUCUCAGCAGGAAAUCACCUGCAGAUGUUGUUGGCCACUUUUUAUAGUUAUAGGUGGAUGCAAUAUUCCCAUUUUAUUUUUAGGUGAUGCUAAGGAUGGAACCCAGUGCCUCAUGCAUGGGGCGAGCGCUCCACCUCUGAGCCACAACCCCAGCCCUAUUGCCCACUUUUCCAUAGAAAUGGAAGGUAGAAAUUGACAGUGGGGAAAUGUAACAGUGGUAAUGAAGCCAGAUUUAAAGUUAGGUAGUCAGUGUAGUUAGGUAAAUUGGGUCUAAUAUCGAGUAAACUCGAAAAUAGAGGCCAUUGUAGAGAAUGAAUUCUGGGAAAAGUUGAACAACUCUUGGAAUGUUAAUGAAGUCGGGAAAGGAAGGAAAACUCAUGGAAUGUUAAUGUCCCCAAGGCCCAGAGCCCAUCAUAAAGAAGUGUUAAUGAAACAGCUCCCAGCAAACUUG